rnacentral:snoRNA from 1 species
AAGACUAUACUUUCAGGGAUCAUUUCUGUAGUUGGUCACUAGAGGAGAGUGAUCGCACCUGACCGGCGUCACAAGCCACGAGGAGGAGCGGGGUGUUCUCUCCUGAGCGCGAAGCGGGCGUGUUGGCAUUAAUCCAUCAGUAGGCAGUUUGUUUAAAGUUGUGUGUCUGGCUUUAGUGCUGCUGUGGAGGGAUCCGACUUUUCUGGUAGU